CAGUGAAGCAGGCAGCACUGAUUUCAGAAGUUGGAAAGCCAGGAGCUAUGAGUAAAUUAGAAAUAGGAAUUGACCUGACUGCUGUGAGAAGACUUGGAAGGUGUGCUGCAGUACCAAAGUAGAACUUCAUACAACAGCCCCUCCUCUUGAUCUGCACAGAUAACUCUCUCAUGCCAUGAAUUCUACUUUGGAUACUGGCUAGGUUUCCAAGAGUACUGUAGAAACAAAGCAAGUUAGCAAUUUACUCCAGCUUGUUUAUGUGGAUUAAUAACUCCAUAUCAAGAUAGUCUCUCGUAUGAAACUGAACUGAUUUGGGGGUCUUAGAAUCAU